rnacentral:antisense_RNA from 1 species
AAACUCCCUUGCCAAGGACACUGGGAGGAAGCAGAAAAGCAAAGACCAAGCUCGUACUUUUCAGUCCGCGGCUUGUGUGCCGCGAGGAGAGGCGCAAAGGGUGACACACCAGGAAAGCAGGUAGCAGGCAAGAGUGUGGUUAUCGUUGGACCAGGAUUCAGGAUCUGACCGAGUAGCUGACUCUUAAUCCAGUUUGUGUUGAUCACCAGGAGGAUCUGGACCUCAGUGUUAUCACAUCUAAAGCUAUAAUCACAUCCCUGUUAAGCCUUCCUGAGAUCACACCAAAUGUCCUUGAUGGGAAUUGUAAACAACCCUUACUUCUGGUUUCUAAUGAUAUUCCAGGAAAGGAGCCUAACUAGAGUCAGUAAGAGGCCAUCCUAGGAAACAAUCCCGUGAGUGAUAUUUCAUGAAUUAUCUUCGUGAACCGGAGCAAGUCGCUUUGCCUUCCUGAACCUUCUCUGAGAUGGAAGGGUGAUCUGAAAAUAUGCCUCCCGGCUAAACCUCAGCCCUGGCUGGCAGAUCUGGCUGGCUAAUGGGACUCC